GGAUGCGAUCAUACCAGCACUAAAGCACCGGAUCCCAUCAGAACUCUGAAGUUAAGCGUGCUUGGGCGAGAGUAGUACUAGGAUGGGUGACCUCCUGGGAAGUCCUUGUGUUUGUGUUGCAUUCC
rnacentral:rRNA from 1 species